rnacentral:rRNA from 1 species
UACGUAGGGCGCAAGCGUUAUCCGGAAUUAUUGGGCGUAAAGAGCUCGUAGGCGGUUUGUCGCGUCUGCCGUGAAAGUCCGGGGCUCAACUCCGGAUCUGCGGUGGGUACGGGCAGACUAGAGUGAUGUAGGGGAGACUGGAAUUCCUGGUGUAGCGGUGAAAUGCGCAGAUAUCAGGAGGAACACCGAGUGGCGAAGGCAGGGUCUCUGGGCAUUAACUGACGCUGAGGAGCGAAAGCAUGGGUAGCGAACAGG